AUUGAACGCUGGUGGCAUGCUUAACACAUGCAAGUCGAACGGUAACAGGUCUUCGGAUGCUGACGAGUGGCGGACGGGUGAGUAACGCGUAGGAAUCUGCCCAUUUGAGGGGGAUACCAGUUGGAAACGACUGUUAAUACCGCAUAAUAUCUGUGGAUUAAAGGUGGCUUAGGCUGCCGCAGAUGGAUGAGCCUGCGUUGGAUUAGCUAGUUGGUGGGGUAAGGGCCUACCAAGGCUACGAUCCAUAGCUGAUUUGAGAGGAUGAUCAGCCACAUUGGGACUGAGACACGGCCCAAACUCCUACGGGAGGCAGCAGUGGGGAAUAUUGGACAAUGGGGGAAACCCUGAUCCAGCAAUGCCAUGUGUGUGAAGAAGGCUCUAGGGUUGUAAAGCACUUUAGUUGGGGAGAAAGCCUAUGAGUUAAUAGCUUGUAGGAAGGACGUUACCCAAAGAAUAAGGACCGGCUAACUCCGUGCCAGCAGCCGCGGUAAAGUAG
rnacentral:rRNA from 1 species